rnacentral:tRNA from 1 species
GAUGGAACGCCGGGAUUGAACGGAUAACUCUGAUGACGUUAAACACGGGGAACAACCCCCUUCCAUCU